rnacentral:rRNA from 1 species
UACGUAGGGGGCAAGCGUUGUCCGGAUUUAUUGGGCGUAAAGAGCGUGUAGGCGGUUUGGUAGGUCCGCUGUGAAAACUCGAGGCUCAACCUCGAGACGCCGGUGGAAACCAUCAGACUAGAGUCCGGAAGAGGAGAGUGGAAUUCCUGGUGUAGCGGUGAAAUGCGCAGAUAUCAGGAAGAACACCGGUGGCUAAGGCGGCUCUCUAGUACGGUACUGACGCUGAGACGCGAAAGCGUGGGGAGCGAACAGG